rnacentral:misc_RNA from 1 species
GCCAAGUGUGAAAAUGAAACUUGUCAACAUCUGAAAUAGCAAAUUACAAGCUUAAGGGGAGUGCCCAAGUACAGGCGAUGGGGAGUCAAAAGAUGGUAAACCAUUCAUGCUGAUGGCUCAUAGGCAAACUGAUGCUUGCAGCCAUGCUGGAUUCCAAAGCUUUUGAGAUUCGUAUUUUGGCAUCGCAAAGUUCAAGUUUUUUUG